rnacentral:rRNA from 1 species
AUUGAACGCUGGCGGCAUGCCUUACACAUGCAAGUCGAACGGUAACAGGUCUUCGGAUGCUGACGAGUGGCGAACGGGUGAGUAAUACAUCGGAACGUGCCUAGUAGUGGGGGAUAACUACUCGAAAGAGUGGCUAAUACCGCAUGAGAUCUACGGAUGAAAGCAGGGGAUCGCAAGACCUUGUGCUACUAGAGCGGCCGAUGGCAGAUUAGGUAGUUGGUGGGAUAAAAGCUUCCCAAGCCGACGAUCUGUAGCUGGUCUGAGAGGACGAUCAGCCACACGGGGACUGAGAACCGGCCCAGACGCCUACGGGAGGCAGCAGUGGGGAAUUUUGGACAAGGGGCGCAAGCCUGAUCCAGCAAUGCCGCGUGCAGGAUGAAGGCCUUCGGGUUGUAAACUGCUUUUGUACGGAACGAAAAGCCCCGGGUUAAUACCCUGGGGUCAUGACGGUACCGUAAGAAUAAGCACCGGCUAACUACGUGCCAGCAGCCGCCGUAA